rnacentral:tRNA from 2 species
CGGGGUGUAGCACAGCCUGGUAGUGCACUAGCUUUGGGAGCUAGAUGUCGUGGGUUCGAAUCCCUCCACCCCGA